GAUCCGAGUCCUCUCACAUUUCAUCCUGGCUGCUGACUAAUAUCCGCACAUGGGAGGGAAUUUCUGCUGAUGUCCUGCUUCUUUUUCUACCCUCGCCUGAUUGACCCUGGGAAUAUAGUACCCUGAAAUAGGAGUUUUCCCACCUCUCCUUUGCAGUAUUCCAGGCUCCAACUAUAAGGAUAUACUGUGGUUUCAAUGUGUCCUCCCAAAAUCCAUAUAAUGAAAUUUGGUUUUGAGAAGACUAUGAAGUUGAAAAUUAAUCCAACUGUGGAAUUAAGAGGUGGAGCCCUCAGGAGGUGAUUAGGAUUGUGAAAUCUUUUAAGAAGCAAAAUGGAGCCAUUUGUGAGAACUUUGAACCACAUUGGGGAAAAUCAUGGAAGAGGUGUUUUCUUAUGCUUAGCAUUCCUAAUAACAAGAACUGUCACAAGGACUCUGCCAGAUCUACAACCUUGAGCAAAGACUAUUGCAAAUUGACACAGAGACUACUUAUUCAAGGACAUCUGCCCAAAGAGUGCUUGUCCAUACUUGGACUGACUCCACCCUUUUUAUUGAUCCUGGUAGCCAAGGAUAACUGUCCAAAACAACAGUCAUCAUCCACUCUACCUCCUUCUUUCCUACUUGUGGGUUUUUGCCUUUUAAAUCUGCUUAAGGAUUAUAAGACCUCAUUGAGUAUGGUUGGGGCUACCUGAAUAUGUUCAUCUACAUUGCUUGGCACAUAUGGUCCUUAUUCUCAUGCCAAAAUAAACUACUUCUGCUUUGA